CAAGCUUGUGCUUAAGAUACUUCAGAUAUAUUUUGAGGGAUCGGCAUGUAACAGAAACAUUUCGAGUGAAAAUUUUAUCAAUGAAUUUGAUAAAGAAUCUGAAACUCUUUCAAAUGGUCACAAAGAUGCACGCGUUAAUACAAAUAAUAAUGAAUGUGUCAUGUGUCAGGUUAUAUGCGAUUAAAUAAAUACGUGUAUAAAUAUCAAAGCUAAUUUCAUUAUUAUAGCUGAGAAGUGAUAUUAAACUUCAUCGAUCUAAAACAACUUAGUUAGACAACCUGGUCAACUGGACAGUUGGAAGCUGAAAGGAUACAUUUCAUAACGGGAAAAGAUGAUUUGUGUAAACUCUCCAAGGCUUUCUAGAAACAUAAGUUGAAGGAUGCAUCUACUGGAGCUAGAUUUGGAUGUUUGGCAAAGAACCGAUGGAGCAUGGUGUGCUUGAAGUCAAACCAAUCACUGUUGUUGUUGUUGCUGCUGCUGCGGAGAGCUUACUUCCUGUUGUAUCAUUCGGCUGCUGGGUCAGUACUUGACUAAAACCAAACAGUUGAUCGGAGACUACUUGACAUUCAGCGAAUGAUAGAUAUUCUUAAAGGAGUUGUUGUGUUAUGGAACUGCAGGAUCUUGCACUUCUCUUACUUAAAAAUGGAUUAAGAACUGCUGAUCCAAAGCCAGCUUUCCCAGAUGCUGAUGCUGAAUCUUGAGUAGACUCCAUGCCACAAAAACAAGGGAUGUAACGUCAAGAUGUUCUUGCUGCUAAUAUUAAGAUUUUCAAAGUUCAAGGAGAGAGGCUCUUGAUAAAUGCGCCAAAAAAGUUGUUAAAGUUUUGGUUGUUGAAAGUACAGCAAAUAACAACAAUAUAGUACUUCUUUGCAGUACAGGAUAUUCAUUUUAAAAAUCGACAAAUUUGAAUUUAUAAAAUUUUGUUAAUUGAUCUAUUUUUCUAAGGCACUCUGGGGUUGAUAAUCCCGGAAGAAGUUCUUUGGCAGACAUAAACGGUGAAACAGAAUUGGAUAGUACUGGAUCAUCUUCUGGUGUACAAAGGGUACAUUGUUCAAGUUAAAAAAUAAUCAUAAUAUGCAUGAAAUAAUGCAGAUUUGUGUGAGUAAGUACAGAGAUAAUGUGUGAUAUGUACCUAAAUAUUAUAAACGAUUGAUGCCUAUAAAGCGAUUAUUUUAUCACAAAUAAUUUAAGAAUCAUUAUUUAAAAAUACAAGUAAAAAUGAUACUUG